CGGUGAUUGACGAGUUACGACUCGUAAUUUCGUGUAACUCCGUCCCUGAUUUUUUCUAACCGUCGGAUCAAAGAAAUCAUUUAACGGUUUUUUUAUGUGUGAAAAGGGUAGAGUAGUAAAUUAGCAGGUCAAUCCAGUCACUAGUCAAUCCCUCGCACAGCCUUCGUCGUUGUCAGUUUAUUAACCUCCUCAAUCCCCUCGCACAGCCGCCGCCGCGGACCCUCCCCUCGACCGUGGCGACGACGGCGUCCCUCCUGUCGAUCGUGCCGCCGCUGCCUCAGACCGUCACACAGCCGCAGGCGCAUACUUUUUCUCGCCCCUCCCCUAAUCCAGUUCCCGUCCAAAGCCGCCGCCGCAAACAAGGGAUCCCGCAGGACCUCGCCGCCGCCGCAAUCAAGUGAUCCCGCCGGACCUCGACGCCGCCGCAAUCAAGUGAUCCUGCCGGACCUCGCCGCCGCCGCAAUCAAGGGAUCCCGCUGGACCUCGCCGCCACCGCAAUCAAGGGAUCCCGCCGGAUUGCCGCCAGGUUUCUGGCCCGCCGCCAGGAGCCGCAGGAACUGCAUGCCAUCAGGCGCGGCGUGCCGAGCCCGCCGAAGCCUCCUCUGCCCCCACCGCCCCCUGCAGCGCAUCCCUCCGUCGAGCAUCCGGUCAUGCCGAGCAACGCCGCGGACCAGUCCGUAGGCAGGAUCUAUCUGGCCGACCUCAUUUGAGCUGCGGCUUAAGUAUUCCUACUGCGCGGGUUUGCACAUAUGAUACAUAGUUGGUUGAGCACAUCUUCUAGACUCUUGUGAAUACAUCUGGGACAACGCUUCACAUCAGUCAGAGUUGCCUUGUGAAGAAAAAGGAUAUGUGGGAGCUUUUGAAUGGACAAAGUCUUCAGCGAGGAAGAGAAGACAGCUGCAUUUCCUUACUUGCAAUUCUAGUAACUAUCUUUGUUAUAGCUUGUAGAGUGUACCCGCAAAAAAAACUUGUAGAGUGUGAUGGAUUAAUUAGGAUGCUAUGUAAUCAGAGUACGUACCUUAUCAUAUGUAUCAUGAUUGAUUGCUAUCAAGGUCUGCAUUCUAUGAAGAAGGCUCCCAUUUAUAUGUUUA